rnacentral:rRNA from 1 species
CGGUGGCGAACGGGGGAGUAACGCGUGAGGAACCUGCCUCAAAGAGGGGGACAACAGUUGGAAACGACUGCUAAUACCGCAUAAGCCCACGGGUCGGCAUCGACCUGAGGGAAAAGGAGCAAUCCGCUUUGAGAUGGCCUCGCGUCCGAUUAGCUAGUUGGUGAGGUAAUGGCCCACCAAGGCGACGAUCGGUAGCCGGACUGAGAGGUUGAACGGCCACAUUGGGACUGAGACACGGCCCAA